GAUGAACGCUGGCGGCGUGCCUAAUACAUGCAAGUCGAGCGAACAGACGAGGAGCUUGCUCCUCUGACGUUAGCGGCGGACGGGUGAGUAACACGUGGAUAACCUACCUAUAAGACUGGGAUAACUUCGGGAAACCGGAGCUAAUACCGGAUAAUAUAUUGAACCGCAUGGUUCAAUAGUGAAAGACGGUUUUGCUGUCACUUAUAGAUGGAUCCGCGCCGCAUUAGCUAGUUGGUAAGGUAACGGCUUACCAAGGCAACGAUGCGUAGCCGACCUGAGAGGGUUAUCCGCCACACCUGAACCGAGACCCGGUCCCAACUUCUACGGGAGGCAGCAGUAGGGAAUCUUCCGCAAUUGGCGAAAGCCUUACGGAGCAACCCCCCCGGAGUGAUGAAGGUCUUCGGAUCCUAAAACUCUUUUAUUAGGGAAGAACAAAUGUGUAAGUAACUAUGCACGUCUUGACGGUACCUAAUCAGAAAGCCACGGCUAACUACGUG
rnacentral:rRNA from 1 species